GAUGAACGCUGGCGGUGUGCCUAACACAUGCAAGUCGAGCGGCAAGACGGUGAGCGCUUGCCUUUAAGGUUGGCGGGUGGCGGGCGGGUAACGAGUGGAUAGGAUACUAAUUAUACUGGGGUAAUUUCGUGAAGCCGGAGCCGCUAACAGCGCAUAUGUCGUACGGGAUAGAGCAGUGGUUCUUGGGACUUUUCGCGUUUGUUUUAGACGAAUUCGGAUUGGCUAGUUGGGGAGGUAAGGGCCCACCAAGGCGACGAUACGCAGCUGGUCUGAGAGGAUGAUCAGCCACACUGGAACUGAGACACGGUCCAGACUCCUACGGGAGGCAGCAGUAGGGAAUAUUCGACAAUGGGCGAAAGCCUGACGCAGCAAUGCCGCGUGAGUGAUGAAGGCCUUCGGAUUGUAAAACCCUGUUAUUAGGAAAGAAAAACAGUAGAUGAAACCAUGGCCGUUCUGACGGUACCCAAAGAGAAAGCAACGGCUAACUUCGUG
rnacentral:rRNA from 1 species